UACGUAGGCAGCAAGCGUUGUUCGGAGUUACUGGGCGUAAAGGGUUUGUAGGUGGUCUGCUAAGUCAGACGUGAAAUCCCUCAGCUUAACUGGGGAACUGCGUCUGAUACUGGCGGACUUGAGGACAGGAGAGGAACGCGGAAUUCCAGGUGUAGCGGUGAAAUGCGUAGAUAUCUGGAGGAACACCGGUGGCGAAGGCGGCGUUCUGGACUGUUUCUGACACGUGAAAACGAAAG
rnacentral:rRNA from 1 species